rnacentral:rRNA from 1 species
UUGGAGGGCAAGUCUGGUGCCAGCAGCCGCGGUAAUUCCAGCUCCAAUAGCGUAUAUUAAAGUUGUUGCAGUUAAAAAGCUCGUAGUUGAAUUUCGGGACUAAUAUGUCGGUCGUACUUUGUACGUACUAGCAUUAUUGGUUUCUCCCUUCUGACGAACCACGAUGUCAUUAGUUUGGUGUCAUGGGAAAUCAGGACUGUUACUUUGAAAAAAUUAGAGUGUUUAAAGCAAGCUCGCGCUUGAAUACAUUAGCAUGGAAUAAUGAAAUAGGACGUUUGAUUCUAUUUUGUUGGUUUCUAGGAUCGACGUAAUGAUUAAUAGGGAUAGUUGGGGGCAUUAGUAUUCAAUUGUCAGAGGUGAAAUUCUUGGAUUUAUUGAAGACUAACUACUGCGAAAGCAUUUGCCAAGGAUGUUUUCAUUAAUCAAGAACGAAAGUUAGGGGAUCGAAGACGAUCAGAUACCGUCGUAGUCUUAACCAUAAACUAUGCCGACUAGGGAUCGGAUGAUGUUAAUUUUUUAAUGACUCAUUCGGCGCCUUACGGGAAAC